AUUCAUUUAACAUAAUAAUGCACCACAAAUUCCACACCUUCAUUAAUAGACAACCAGCAAAUGUAACAAUUUAGAUUUUUAUAAAUAGUUUUUACAUAAUCGGCAGUAAGAACAAAUCAGCAAAAGAAAUGCAGCUCUCUGGUCCGACCAGUGGAGGGAAAAGAGAAUCGGAACAAAAUUAAAAAAAUGUUGACAUGUUGACAUGAUGACCUCAUAUGGUUGUACAAGGUGGGUCUGCUGGUUCUGGGGGACAGGAGCGUCAGUCCAGGGCUGUGGUGGUGCUGGUUCUGGGCGUCCUGCUGGUCUUGUUGGUGUGGAGGAGCAGGAGAGCCAGGCCACAGCAGCAGAGCACACUCUUCACCACCAUCACUGUGUAGAGCACAGACGCCAGCCUGGCUCUGGACAGCACCUGGAGGGACUCUGGGACCCCACCAACACACAGCCCAUACUGGUUUAUACUGGUCCAUGUGCACCAUAGAGGCCUAUGCUGGUUUAUACUGGGCCAUAUGCAACUCAGUGGUUUAUACUGGUCCAUACGGACCAUAGUGGUCUAUACUAGUUUAUACAGGUUAAUUUUCCCCAUAAGGGUCUAUACUGUUUUAUACUGCUUUAUAUGCAUCACAUUGCUUUAAACUGCUUUAUACUCCUACAUAUGCACCCUGGGGUCUUUGCUGGUUAAUUUGCACCAUUGUGGCCAAGACUGAUUUAUAUGCACCAAAUAGACCACAGUGGUCUACAGUGGUUCAUAUGAAGGUAAUUGAAAUUCCAGGAUCCAUGUAGUGGGGUUAGUUUAAGACUACAUAUCCCAGGUGAUAUAGUGGGGUUAGUGAUAGACAACAAGCUGAUUGUUAUAGGGUUGUAGUUCUUCAUUACCUGCUGGGAACUCCUCCUGCAGACCGCUUUCAUGCUCAACUCUACAGAUGUAUUGAUCUGUGAGGGUUUCUCCCCGAUCAAUAACCAGGAUGCUGGCAGCGUAUGUCGGUCCUCUGAGCUCCAGCUGCUCCCCGUCCUUCCCCCCUCUGCCCCCCCUCCUCCUCCUCCAGGACACCCGGACCUCCUCAGGGACCAUGUCUCUGGCUACACACAGCAGGGAGCGCCCGGCCCUUUAAAUCAGCUCCCGUCGCUGGGUAGACGCUCACUUUGGGCCGCACCACUGACCUCAGUGAUCUUACCUGUAACAACCAGGGUGGUGCCACGACCAAAAGUUGGGAUAUCCACAGUGAAAUAUCCUGUAUCAUAAACCUCUGCUCACCGCCUGAGAUGCCGUCAACGCUGAUCAAUAACUUGUUGAUCACAUCGAUCACCUACAGAUGAUCAGCACCACUACAAGGGAGGCGUGGGAUGAAUGUUCUUAUCCUGAGAGGAGGGCUUUGUAAAUGCCAGCAGAGUAAAUCAGGAGAGUAGAUGUCACUGUUUGUGUUCAGCAGAAAUGACUCCAAGGUCUUCUUCUCUCUUCAUCGUAGGCUUUAAUAACAACUGAAGACUCGUUCCCUCUCAUGAAGAAUGAAAAUGUAAAAUCUUCCAGAGAGAGCUUUAUUACCACAGAGUUCAGUAUUUUACUAGAUUGUUGUUUCUUGAGGUUUGAGCCUAAAGUCGUCCACUUCCAUUAGGGCCUCCAGAUGUCUGUCUGUUACUUUGUAGUUUGAUCCACCUCCCCCAAACCAGCAACCAGUUCAGUGAUGAUAUUAACUCAGCACAGUAGCAAGGAGAGAUCAAGGCUUGGAAUGAAGCCUAUACUACAGACAGUAUGGGAGUACAGGGAUUCUUCCUUCUGCUGCUGGCCUUCUCAACAUGGCACGGCGAGGACUCGUACCCCCGACCUCAUAGACACUAUACACACCAGCAUAGGGUUAAGUCUCAACACGUGCCUUAAUGUGUAACAUAACAGGGAUUGAUCCACAUCUUACUGGUCAUAUCCAGUUUAAAUUAGCGCAUGGCUGUAGAUUGAACAGCCAAUGAGACAUCUUCUGAUGCGUCUUGUGAUCACCAGAGUUUUUGUACGGGCAGGAAGGAGAACGUCUCACUGUGUGACACCACUAGUCCAACAGGAACAGUAGUAGGUGGCGGAAUGGGACGCUUUCACCAGCUGAAGUGACAACUCCCAGCUGUUCUCUUUGAGGACUGAUGAGAAAUCAUCCUUCUGAGGAUGGUUGUAACUUUUAUCAAGCGCACCAUUACUCUUGCCAAUGUCAAGAAUCAGGGUGAAUGUUUCGCUCUCUUUCUUCUGGUACCAGAAGAUAUAGGAACCAGUACACUGGUCAGUGUCUGUACACCUGAAGGAGACGGCUUCCCCUUCUCUCCUGGUCCACGACACCUGGUCCUGAGUCAGCUCUGCUGCCAUGGCAAC
ensembl:lncRNA